rnacentral:rRNA from 1 species
GGCGGCGUGCCUAAUACAUGCAAGUCGAGCGAAGAGAUGGGAGCUUGCUCCCUGAUCUUAGCGGCGGACGGGUGAGUAACACGUGGGCAACCUGCCCUGCAGACUGGGAUAACUCCGGGAAACCGGAGCUAAUACCGGGUAAUACAUCGCACCGCAUGGUGCAAUGUUGAAAGUUGGCUUUCUGAGCUAACACUGCAGGAUGGGCCCGCGGCGCAUUAGCUAGUUGGUAAGGUAAUGGCUUACCAAGGCGACGAUGCGUACCCGACCUGAGAGGGUGAUCGGCCACACUGGGACUGAAACACGGCCCAGACUCCUACGGGAGGCAGCAUUAGGGAAUCUUCCGCAAUGGACGAAAGUCUGACGGACCAACGCCGCGUGAGUGACAAAGGCCUUCGGGUCGUAAAGCUCUGUUGUUAGGGAAGAACAAGUACCGUUCGAAUAGGGCGGUACCUUGACGGUACCUAACCAGAAAGCCACGGCUAA